GUUGGUGUAUUGCAAGGGUAGCAUAGCUGGUGCUUUCUGCCAGAAGAUCCAGGUUCGAGUCCUCGGCGCCAACC